CAUAAGGCCAUCCACCAUAAUCCCAUCCUCCACAAUGUCAUCGUCACAAUGCCAUCCACCAUAAUGCCAUCCACCAUAAUGCUAUCUGCCAUAAGGGCCUUACCAGAGACAAGACAAUGCCAGUGCCAGGCCAAUGCUAGUACCAUGCCCUGAACCUCCACAACUAUUCAACAACAAAAUAAAGAAGAUUCAAAAUAAAGAAUAGAUGAACAUGAAGAUAGACCAAUGGAAAUUAUCUAAUCUGAACAAUAGAGGACAUAAAUGUACAGAUUCAAAAAAUUCCAGUCGCGCAGAAGACAGCGAAUCACCCCGCUGCAGACAGGCAGGUCUGCCCACACCCUACCUAGGUCCCCAGUCAGGCGGAACACAUACCGAAUCAGCCAGCUGCAGACAGGCAGGUCUGUGCACGCCCUACCAAGGUCCUGAGUCCCACGGAAGACACCGAAUCACCCCGCUGCAGACAGGCAGCCACCUAGUUCCACACUACAAAGACGCAGAGGACACCAGACCACCAGACCAAGGUCAGAGACAGAGGAUAUCAGAGAUUCAAAACAUGAGAAGGAUCUGAUACACCCUUCUGGCUUAAAGACAAAGGAAGACACAUGGCUAGAAGUGUAGGUGGCCUCUAGGAGCUGAGAAAGCAUCUAUGACAGCCACGCAGGAAAUGGUGGCCUCGUACUCUGGAGAUUCAGUGGAUUCAGCUCCCAGAUGAGAACUCGGUGCAGCCCAUACAGUGUUGAUUGCUUUGUGAACAGAACCAAGCCAUGCCAGACUUCUGAGCUCCAGAAAUGUGAACUAAUCCCAGGUGUUAUUUCAAGUUCCUAAAUGCAUGAUACGUUGUUACACAGGAGUAGAAAACUAACAUAAUCAUAUAUAGCUUUCCAAAUCCAUGCAGAUAAAUAUUUCUAAUUCUUUUUUAAGACUGCAUAUGUAUUACUUUGUCAUUACUUUAAUGCAUCAAAAUAUAUUCAAAUAUAUUCCUAUUUCUAGAAAUCCACCUGGCUUUUAUUUCUUGUUAUUUUUAAAUAAUCCAGAAAACAUCUUUAUGCAUUUGCCUUGAUAUAUCUAUCCUAUUUCCCCCCAUAAGACAGAUUGUUA
rnacentral:lncRNA from 1 species